UACGUAGGCAGCAAGCGUUGUUCGGAGUUACUGGGCGUAAAGGGUGUGUAGGCGGUUGCUUAAGUUUGGUGUGAAAUCUCCCGGCUCAACUGGGAGGGUGCGCCGAAUACUGAGUGACUCGAGUGCGGGGAGAGGAGAGUGGAAUUCCUGGUGUAGCGGUGAAAUGCGUAGAUAUCAGGAGGAACACCGGUGGUGUAGACGGCUCUCUGGACCGUAACUGACGCUGAGGCACGAAAAGCGUGGGGUAGCAAACAGG
rnacentral:rRNA from 1 species